rnacentral:rRNA from 1 species
GAUGAACGCUGGCGGCGUGCCUAACACAUGCAAGUCGAACGGAGAUUAGACGCUGACGAGACUUCGGUCAAAUCUUGUUUAAUCUUAGUGGCGGACGGGUGAGUAACGCGUGGGCAACCUGCCUCAUACUGGGGGAUAACAGUUGGAAACGACUGUUAAUACCGCAUAAGCGCACAGAGUCGCAUGACUCAGUGUGAAAAACUCCGGUGGUAUGAGAUGGGCCCGCGUCAGAUUAGCCAGUUGGCGGGGUAACGGCCCACCAAAGCGACGAUCUGUAGCCGGACUGAGAGGUCGGACGGCCACAUUGGGACUGAGACACGGCCCAAACUCCUACGGGAGGCAGCAGUGGGGGAUAUUGCACAAUGGAGGAAACUCUGAUGCAGCGACGCCGCGUGAGUGAAGAAGUAUUUCGGUAUGUAAAGCUCUAUCAGCAGGGAAGAAAGGCUCGUAAGAGAGAUGACGUAC